rnacentral:rRNA from 1 species
GACGAACGCUGGCGGCGUGCCUAAUACAUGCAAGUCGGGCGGGGUUUUGAGAGCUUGCUCUUGAAACCCAGCGGCGAACGGGUGAGUAACACGUGGGUAACCUGCCCGCAAGACCGGGAUAACUUCGGGAAACCGGAGCUAAUACCGGAUAGGACUUCGGGUCGCAUGAUCCGGGGUGGAAAGGUGGCGCAAGCUGCCACUUGCGGAUGGGCCCGCGGCGCAUUAGCUAGUUGGUGAGGUAACGGCUCACCAAGGUGACGAUGCGUAGCCGACCUGAGAGGGUGACCGGCCACACUGGGACUGAGACACGGCCCAG